rnacentral:rRNA from 1 species
GUGGGGAAUAUUGGACAAUGGGCGAAAGCCUGAUCCAGCCAUGCCGCGUGUGUGAAGAAGGUCUUCGGAUUGUAAAGCACUUUAAGUUGGGAGGAAGGGCAGUAAGUUAAUACCUUGCUGUUUUGACGUUACCGACAGAAUAAGCACCGGCUAACUUCGUGCCAGCAGCCGCGGUAAUACGAAGGGUGCAAGCGUUAAUCGGAAUUACUGGGCGUAAAGCACGCGUAGGUGGUUUUGUAAGUUGGAGGUGAAAUCCCCGGGCUCAACCUGGGAACUGCCUCCAAAACUGCAUGACUAGAGUACGGUAGAGGGUAGUGGAAUUUCCUGUGUAGCGGUGAAAUGCGUAGAUAUAGGAAGGAACACCAGUGGCGAAGGCGACUACCUGGACUGAUACUGACACUGAGGUGCGAAAGCGUGGGGAGCAAACAGGAUUAGAAACCCCGGUAGUCC